CGCCCUUAGAGUUUGAUCAUGGCUCAGAUUGAACGCUGGCGGCAGGCUUAACACAUGCAAGUCGAGCGGUAGGAGAGCUUGCUCUCUACGAGCGGCGGACGGGUGAGUAAUGUCUGGGAAACUGCCUGAUGGAGGGGGAUAACUACUGGAAACGGUAGCUAAUACCGCAUAACGUCGCAAGACCAAAGAGGUUCGUCUUGCCAUCAGAUGUGCCCAGAUGGGAUUAGCUAGUAGGUGGGGUAACGGCUCACCUAGGCGACGAUCCCUAGCUGGUCUGAGAGGAUGACCAGCCACACUGGAACUGAGACACGGUCCAGACUCCUACGGGAGGCAGCAGUGGGGAAUAUUGCACAAUGGGCGCAAGCCUGAUGCAGCCAUGCCGCGUGUAUGAAGAAGGCCUUCGGGUUGUAAAGUACUUUCAGCGAGGAGGAAGGGCAUUAAUAAUUUAGUGAUUGGACGUUACUCACA
rnacentral:rRNA from 1 species